AAAUUGCAUAUUCAAUAACUUACAAAAAAAUUGAAGUUGAAAUUGGGAUUUUAUUUUAGGAAUAAGGCCUGUUUUUCUUUUGAAGCCAGAAGGAGGCUAGUAUCAGCUACAUUUAUGCCUUUACUAGACUUUACUAGACUUUACUAGACUAGACCAUUUGAGAUGAACCAGACCUGUGGUCAAAUACUAUAAUUUUAAAUACUUUAGCUUUACUUGAUUGAGCUUGCUUUGUGAAAUGGAACCAAUAGAAAAAUUGCCAAAGUACAAACCCUGCCUACUUGGCACUCCAUGCAGACUAAAGCAAAUGCUUAAAAGUAUUUGAAAGAGUACAACUAGUAUUUGAACUCAUGUCUGCACUGGUUGGCUGCUGAGGUCAAGGAGGGUCAUAAUACAGACCUGAAACAAAGCACAUUGUACCUGUCACCCCACAGAUGCUUUAAGCGUUUGCCUCAGACUGCCUGGAGUGCCAGGUGCGUGAUGUUUGCAUUUCUGAAUUUUUUAUUGGUACCAUUUCAACAAGCAAGCUAAAUCAAGCACAGCUAAAAUUUUGAAAUGAUAAUAUUUGAACACAUGUCUUGUCCUGUGUGGUGUAAACUUCCCAACAUUGUCACAUGUUUCCGUUUGGUUCUACCUAUGAUAGAUGACAUGAGCUGUAAUUCCACCCCAUAUUAAAGGUGAUGCUCAGCUCAGGACAGGUACCCUGCAAUAUGAUGAUGGAGGGGAGCCCUAUUGUGUACACAGAGCUGUUGGGAGUCGUGUUUUAGAAAGGGGUUAACCUCUGUUCUAUUCUGUCUUUAAAGAGGAACUUUAUUUAGGCAAAUAUCUUCAUAGUAGCCCACUAAACUCAGUAAUCCUUCAUUAAGAGAAGUGGGAAGACAGGAUGUUAGGGAAAAAAUGUAGAUGAGGAAAAAGUGAAUAACAAAUGAGAAGACACGAUCAGACAUAUACUGUAAAAAAGUUCUGGAAAAUAAUUAGGUGAGGUCGGCUAGGCAGAGAGUGGUGAUGGAUAGAGGGGUGGAGGGAGAAGACAUGGUAGCUAAUAUCGAGAAGUAUUUAUUUCUUCCGUGGGAAAGAGAGGGAU